UCAUUUUCAGGUUUAGAGAUGAUUGUACCAUCUAUGUUAAUUGUGGGUGUGUGUGGUCCUCUAGUUAUGAUACUCCACAAAUCAUAAUCUAGAGCUUCGAUAAAUAUUCUUACCCUAGCUUUCGGAUAUGUGUAGUUUGUUAAACAAGGGAGGUCCGUUUGUUGAUUGUCCCUCACUCAUGGAAUUUUCUAUUUGGGCUGCCAUGACCUUUAGCUCUUGAUCGUGAGAUCAGCAAAUACUAUGAGAGCACCUGCUCUGAUACCACUUGUUGCCCAAUGUGACAACCCAAGAGGGGGGGUGAAUUGGGUUUUCAAAAAUUUUCGACCUUAACUCUUCUUGAUGGAUGUGUGUGAGUGAUUUAGUUGGUGUUAAUUAUAUAAGUGCAAUUGAAAACACAAACAAGACAAUAUAAACACACAAGAAGUAUAGUGGUGCGGUGCACCCCAAGGCACCUACGUCCACUCUCCAAGCGUCCUCUUGGAAAUUCACUAUAAUCCUUCGGAUUACAGUUGGAUUGUUUUUCGACUCACAAUCCAAAAACCAUUACGA
rnacentral:lncRNA from 1 species